rnacentral:lncRNA from 1 species
CACAGUUUACACUGGAAAAUCUGUUUUAUACAGGUAAUAAGAUGACAGUGAAGUUUCUUGGUUAAUCCAUCAAAAUUCCUGCAGGCCAGGAUAACAACUUCCUGAGGAUGAGUUUCCAACCACUUUAACACUUCCCACAGAAUAUCCUGUACAAUAACGGUUGUGUAUACCAUAUGCACGAAGUACAGAUUCGUAGAUGGAUCGCUAGACUUGUGGGCAAUCCUAAAAUCCAAA